CGGAGGAAAAGAAACCAACAGGGAUUGCCUCAGUAACGGCGAGUGAAGCGGCAAAAGCUCAAAUUUUAAAGCUGGCACCUUCGGUGUCCGCGUUGUAAUUUUGUGAGGCAUCUCCGGGUAGGGCGCCGGCCUAAGUUCCUUGGAACAGGACGUCAUAGAGGGUGAGAAUCCCGUGCUUGGCUGGCUGUCCCCGUCCAUGUGAGGUGUCUUCGACGAGUCGAGUUGUUUGGGAAUGCAGCUCAAAAUGGGUGGUAAAUUUCAUCUAAAGCUAAAUAUUGGUGGGAGACCGAUAGCGCACAAGUAGAGUGAUCGAAAGAUGAAAAGCACUUUGAAAAUAGAGUUAAAAAGUACGUGAAAUUGUUGAAAGGGAAGCGCUUGAGACCAGACUUCGGUGGGGGGUGAUCAGCUGUCCUUCUGGGCGGUGCACUUGCUCCCCUCCGGGCCAGCAUCGGUUGGGGCGGCGGGAUAAAGAUCCCGGGAAUGUGGCUCCUUUCGGGGAGUGUUAUAGCCCGGGUGAAUGCCGCCAGCUCCGACCGAGGACCGCGCCUUCGGGCUAGGAUGCUUGGCAUAAUGGUCUUCAGCGACCCGUCU
rnacentral:rRNA from 2 species